rnacentral:rRNA from 1 species
AUAACAAUACAUGACUCUUUCCAGGCCCUGUAAUUGGAAUGAGUACACUUUAAAUACUUUAACGAGGUUCUAUUGGAGGGCAAGUCUGGUGCAGAGCGACUGACCUGUGCGUGCUGCAGCUGAAA